rnacentral:rRNA from 1 species
AAGCAUAUAAGUAAGCGGAGGAAAAGAAACUAAAUAGGAUUCCCUUAGUAAUGGCGAAUGAACAGGGAUCAGCUCAGUAUGGAAAUCGGGGCUUCCCAGCCUUGAAUUGUAGUCUCAAGAGGUAUCGCCAACGGAGGCGCAGAUGUAAGCCUCUUGGAAAAGAGCAUCAAUGAGGGUGAGAAUCCCGUUUGUCAUCUGCAGUCCCCCGUGCACGGUGUAUCUUCUAAGAGUCGCGUUCCUCGGGAUUGGAGCGUAAAGUGGGUGGUAAAUUUCAUCUAAGGCUAAAUAUGGGUUCGAGACCGAUAGCAAACAAGUACCAUGAGGGAAAGAUGAAAAGGACUUUGAAAAGAGAGUUAAAAGUGCCUGAAAUUGCUGAAAGGGAAGCGAAUGGAACCAGUGCUCUUGGCGAGAUUGUUGUGCGCUAUGGUGAUUGCUGGCUGCUUCAGCGCAAGCGGGGUAGUUGGUACUGAGCCUGCCGCGCGCAGUGUUUCUUACCUUGUGCGUCACCGUCGGUUCACAGGCGAGGAUACUUCUGAGGACAUGGUAACUCUUCCACGGAGGUGUGAAUGUCUUUGGUAAUACUCGUUUGUAGACCGCUCACCUUCGGGUUACGAUGACUAAAUGGUUCUAUUCGACCCGUCUUG